AUAUCAAUAAGCGGAGGAAAAGAAACUAACAAGGAUUCCCUUAGUAGCGGCGAGCGAAGCGGGAAGAGCUCAAAUUUGAAAGCUGGCGUCCUACGGGCGUCCGCAUUGUAAUCUAUAGAGGCGUUUUUCUGUGCUGGACCGUGUCCAAGUCCCUUGGAACAGGGUAUCAAAGAGGGUGACAAUCCCGUACUAGGAUCGACGAGUUCGUAUGAGGGUUUUCUAAGAGUCGGGUAGUUUGGGAAUGCUGCCCUAAUUAGGAGAUAUACUUCUUCUAAGGCUAAAUAUCUAUAGGAGACCGAUAGCGCACAAGUA
rnacentral:rRNA from 1 species